GUGUUUAUACAAACUUCCGGCAAAAGUAUUUGGGAGUGCACAGAGAAGCCUUGAAUCUACUGAGCUACACAAUCUUUAACACCUAAUUGUUUUCUACAAGCAGAAAGAGUGUUUUCAAAAAGGUUUAAUGUGUCACGUGUUUAUACAAACUUCCGGCAAAAGUAUUUGGGAGUGCACAGAGAAGCCUUGAAUCUACUGAGCUACACAAUCUUUAACACCUAAUUGUUUUCUACAAGCAGAAAGAGUGUUUUCAAAAAGGUUUAAUGUGUCACGUGUUUAUACAAACUUCCGGCAAAAGUAUUUGGGAGUGCACAGAGAAUCCUUGAAUCUACUGAGCUACACAAUCUUUAACACCUAAUUGUUUUCUACAAGCAGAAAGAGUGUUUUCAAAAAGGUUUAAUGUGACAGAAGAGGUCUGGUUUCAUCUCUAGAUUAAGGUGUCAAGGGAAGUAACCAGCAUUGAAAGCUUCCAAGAAAUAAAACGUGGACUUCAGAUUCAACUAAACGACGCCAGGAAUAAUUCAAAGUAAAUCUACCAUCACACCCACUGUACAGAAAUUCCUGGACUGGAUCUACCUCAACCACUCCGUAAAUUCCUGGAUCCACCACAUCUUCUUCUUCCACUAGGUUUGAAAUAUUCAUAUUAUUCAUGAUGUCGUAUUCAACCACAGCCCCCCACCUCUUCCUCGCAAACACAUAAAACAAGUUUUCUUUGAGCAUAUACCGGUAAAUAACUGAAAUAUAAAUGAGAUUAAAUGAUUAAGAAAACUAAGUUGAUGAUAAAUACAUUUAAAAGUAAAUAUUCCAAUAGCUUUUUAUUUUUGAAUGAUUCAUUUUCUGAGGUCAAUCCGUGGGACCAAAACGACUUGGGGUCGAAACUAUAGGAUGCCGAAACGACAAGCAUCACUGUGACGUAAAUCGAACAGACGAUAGAUCAGAGGCAGCAAAAUGAAGGAUAUUUUUACCCAUUUAUAUCGAUAAUGGUUCCCCGUGUAAGAAAUGAAAGUACAGAUACAGUGGAUGAGAGGAAGAAAGAGACAAACUUGGUCAUAAGGCUACAUAAUUCCUGCUACCUUUGGACCAGUGUUCUUGUAUUAAAUCAUGUUACCUUUGGGUAAGUGUUAUGGUAUUAAAUCAUUCUUGAAGUAAAUAAUGUGUACAUACAUUUUUUUUUUGUUAAUGGUUCCUAAAAAUUUAAAAACUUAGGGGAGUUGUUUUAUGUCAACAAACAACAUGUACCGGUACAUGUAGAUCUCAGUGAUUUCAGAGUGACCAAUCAUCAGACAGAACCACUCUGUCCUGGACCAACUGGUGACCUUGGGUGACCCCCAGACCCCUUCAUAUAAAAUUGGCCCCACUGAUGUUUUAAAGAUGAAUACAAAUUAUACAAAUAUUUUUAUUGGCACAAACACAAUUACAAUAAUUGGCAAAGACCCAGUGGAUAUAUAGGAAUGUCAUUGUAUAUUUACAAUAACUGCAUGUACAGUAUAUAUAUAUUUUACUGAUUUAUAUAUGUAACGGAGACACUUUUUGCCUCUGCUGGGGUUUGAACCCAGGUCCUCUGGCAGUCCAGCACUCUACCGAUCAAGCUAAAGGGUUAACCCACUAGCCAGAGCUAGUAGGAAUGCCAUAUACCUGACUCUACCACAUAUAUAUCAGUUUAACAUUUCCUUAGACUAAAUUGACAUCUGUGUUCAAAGAAUGUCUUUAAUGAAUUUAACAGUAAUUUUUAAAAUAGUGUGUAUUUCACUAUUUAAACAUACAUGUAAAAUGUAUCUUUCUCCAAGUUAUUGGCAAUAUUUAUCAGUCCCCUACCGGUUUUCACGUCAGUCCGUCCGUCUUCCCACUUCAGUUUUCCACACUUUUUUUCUUUAUGCGUUUGAGGAACAAUACAGAUCAGGUUUACACUUUUGUAGCGUCUGGUUGACAUAUUUUUGAGAAAAUUAAUUGUUUAUGUUCCAAUUUUUUAAUGUUCGGGUUAGAUAUUCUGCAUAACAGUGCAUUGUUUUCACAAUUUCCACAAACCGGUAGGGGACGUGUAUUCCUUAUGCAAUACUCUCAGAAUGCUUGUUUUAAUUAUAUUAUAAAAAUUACUAAAAUAGUUUUUCCUUAGAUGAGAAUAGGCUUAAUAUACAAUGAAAAAGGAAAUGAGUUUCAUCUUCAAUUAAAUAUAAAUAAAUGAAAAAAAGGAUUCUUAAGUUCCUUUGAAAAUUUUGUCAAAUUCACUGGCCAAUGUGAUUUUAGAUUUCAUUAGUCUAAAAUAUUAGUGCAAUUCAAUCUUUAAGUUGACAGGCUAAAUGUUUAUGAAAAUUCAUGAAUCAAUGUUGGUUUUCAUUACUUAUGUCAGUUUGAAAAAAGAAAAGAAAAUAAUACCUAAAUUUCCAUUAAAGCGUAGAGUAAUAUGUGAAUUAUUGUAAACUGAUGGGCUGUAUUGCCCAAGGUUGAAUUUCUGAAUAGAUAAAUUAAUAUUUCCAUUAAAGCAUUAAACCUCUAUGGCAUGUUAUAUUAAUGUUGAACCUGAGGACAACUUAAAUAUAAAUGUUUAUGUAAAUACAUUCAUCAAUGUUGACCUUUAUUACUUACAUGUACAUGUAUCUAAGCUGGAAGUUAAUAUGAUAUUGUCACUGUCACUCACUGAAUUAUUUAUUUAGGAUAUAACAGUUUGUAAUAUUUUGUGGUCU